GACGAACGCUGGCGGCGUGCCUAAUACAUGCAAGUAGGACGCACAGUCUAUACCGUAGCUUGCUACACCAUAGGCUGUGAGUGGCGAACGGGUGAGUAACGCGUAGGUAACCUGCCUAUUAGAGGGGGAUAACUAUUGGAAACGAUAGCUAAUACCGCAUAAUAGUAUGUAACACAUGUUAGAUGCUUGAAAGAUGCAAUUGCAUCGCUAGUAGAUGGACCUGCGUUGUAUUAGCUAGUAGGUAGGGUAAAGGCCUACCUAGGCAACGAUACAUAGCCGACCUGAGAGGGUGAUCGGCCACACUGGGACUGAGACACGGCCCAGACUCCUACGGGAGGCAGCAGUAGGGAAUCUUCGGCAAUGGGGGGAACCCUGACCGAGCAACGCCGCGUGAGUGAAGAAGGUUUUCGGGUCGUAAAGCUCUGUUGUUAAGGAAGAAUGAGUGUGAGAAUGGAAAGUUCAUACUGUGACGGUACUUAACCAGAAAGGGACGGCUAACUACGUGC
rnacentral:rRNA from 1 species